AUGAUCCCCUCCUUCUCUUUCUCUCAAAUUUGGAAAUUCUCUUCCUUGAUGACUGGUGUCUCCAGACACUCAUGGACAUGGAGGAGGAGGAGUGUAGCAGUCUUCACCUGCUUCUUGCAGGGCAUCCCCCAAGAAAGGCCUCUGCCUGGCGUGUGUCGGCCAGGGUCCCUGCAGUGUCAGGUACAACCUGCAGUGACAGCAGGGAGACACCUAGGGAGGAGACUGUGGGAGAAGGCCUUGGGGUGAGUGAAGGAAUCUGGUGACACUGGGGACAUGGUGACUGUGCACUUGGCUGGCCAUCCUGUGUCCUGCAGGGCUCCUGGCUGUAGCUGGUGUCCCUAGUCUUCUGCAGCCACCUGGAGAAGCCCCCUGCUAAAGGUCUUUCUGCGCAAACUUUCCACGAAGAUUGCCGCAGAAUGACCAGGCAAGCUGGACUUCCUGUGUCGUGGGAUGAUACUGUUCCUGCUGUGUCCCCCUGGGACACCCAGCUCCCCUGCUGUGGCCUCCUCUAACCUGGGCCUCCUCAACUCUGGCCUCUACUGUGCAUCUGGCCCAUCACUGUCCUUUUCUUCUCCCUCUCCAUAGAGUGUCUCUGCCACUGGAUCUUGAUUUCUUAACCGCUUGCUUCUCACUCCAUGAUGUGACAUUUCUUCCUAGCCACAAAGCUUGCCCAGAUGCUAAAACCUAUUAUCCAACCAAACUGGGUCCCUGACCCAAUCUCCUCAUUUCACCUCACCUCUUCAGGUUCUUAAUCUCUCACCUAGUGAAAAAGCCAUAGUUGCAUUUGUUAGCUGACAGUUGGAGAGGUGAGGGGAAGGGCCCAGCCUUGAUAAGCUCCCAUUUUUGUGAUGGAUCCCAGUUUGCUUCCCCAAUCUAGAAAGUCUAGAGGCUCUUGGCCAGGGAAGAGAGUAGACCCAGUCUCUGGCCCUGGGAUUGAGUGGAUGGCCCUGGCUGUAGGACCAACUCACAAAUCUCCACUCUGGGCCCAUCGUGCUAGAGCCACUCAAGUCUCCCUUGGAGCCAGGCUGGCUAGACUCCGGGCUGCCAAGUCCAGCUUCAGUCUGACAGACUCCAAGCUCUAAGCAGGUGGACUUAGGUCCUAAGCCCGAGGUCAGGGGCCCGUCUUUAGGGCUAUAGCAUGUACGUGUAAUGAAAAAGCCAUUGGAGCCUUCUGCCUAGCAACAUCGUCCUUUCUACUUAGAGGAGUGGAGGAGAUCCCACAGUGUGGCUCUCCUGGCUCCCCCCA
rnacentral:lncRNA from 12 species